CCUACGGGUGGCAGCAGUGGGGGAUAUUGGACAAUGGGGGAAACCCUGAUCCAGCGACGCCGCGUGAGUGAAGAAGUAUUUCGGUAUGUAAAGCUCUAUCAGCAGGGAAGAAAGAAAUGACGGUACCUGAGUAAGAAGCCCCGGCUAACUACGUGCCAGCAGCCGCGGUAAUACGGAGGGGGCAAGCGUUAUCCGGAAUUACUGGGUGUAAAGGGAGCGUAGACGGUAAUGCAAGUCUGGAGUGAAAGGCGGGGGCUCAACCCCCGGACUGCUCUGGAAACUGUGUAACUGGAGUGCAGGAGAGGCAGGCGGAAUUCGUGGUGUAGCGGUGAAAUGCGUAGAUAUUAGGAGGAACACCAGUGGCGAAGGCGGCCUGCUGGACUGUAGCUGACGUUGAGGCUCGAAAGCGUGGGGAGCAAACAGGAUUAGAUACACCAGUAGUC
rnacentral:rRNA from 1 species